AUGGUCAGUUGCAUCAACCCUUACUCAAAAUAAAAUUAAACGACUUGUUAAAUUAGUACGUGGGAUAGCAGUAUCCAUUUAUGUUAUUUAUUUAUUUCUUGCAUUCCUGCUAGUACCUUGGCAUGAUGAUGACAUUCAAACAUAUCCACUAAUAAAUUUUGUUGAAUAUUAUUUAAAAAUUCCAAGAUUAAUUAACAUAAUAAUAGUAACGGUAGUGACAGUUUGUUCUUCAAUUGUUCUGUUGGGAUUUGUUUUGCUUGCUGUAUAUUACUGUGUACAAUUAAUAUUUCAAAUUUAUAUAUGCCAGGACUUUAUUGAGAAUAUGUCAGAAAAUUAUGAAAUAAAUUUUUCUUUAAAGAGUAAUUCUAGAUUUCAAAAGGAAAUUGAAGAAAAACUAUUAAGGCUCAUUAAACUCCAUGUCGUUUUAAGACAGUAGGUAUAUACCAAACUACAAAUAAAAUAUAUGAAGACAAUUUUAUAUUCCAGACUUAACUUUACAGUUAACGACAGUGUAUCCAAAAUUGCCAUCCCUUUCUUUCUUUCAGCAGUAAUUAUUCCACCAUCAGCAAUUAUUUACCUUUCAGUUAUGGAGAAGAACUAUUUAAAUUGUUUUAGAUUUAUAUCUGCUUUUGUUGGAAUUAUGUACACCCUCUUCAUAGUUUGUUAUUGGGGGCAAAAAAUGACAGAUGAACACGAAAAGUUUUAUUACCAAUGUUUUGGAGCGGACUGGAUUUAUUGGAACGAAAAAAACUUAAAACUCUAUAACAUGCUUUUGUUACACAGUCAAUCAUACUUUUUGGUUGACUGCAGAGGAUUGGUAAAUG